CAGCAGCCGCGGUAAUACGGAGGAUCCGAGCGUUAUCCGGAUUUAUUGGGUUUAAAGGGUGCGUAGGCGGCCUGUUAAGUCAGAGGUGAAAGGCGGUAGCUUAACUAUCGGAGUGCCUUUGAUACUGACGGGCUUGAAUGCAGCUGAGGUAGGCGGAAUGUGACAAGUAGCGGUGAAAUGCAUAGAUAUGUCACAGAACACCAAUUGCGAAGGCAGCUUACUAAAGUGUGAUUGACGCUGAGGCACGAAAGCGUGGGGAUCAAACAGGAUUAGAUACCCUGGUAGUCCACGCCCUAAACGAUGAAUACUCGAUGUUGGCGAUAUACGGUCAGCGUCUAAGCGAAAGCGUUAAGUAUUCCACCUGGGGAGUACGCCCGCAAGGGUGAAACUCAAAUGAAUUGACGG
rnacentral:rRNA from 1 species